UGGUGCCUAAAAUGGGGCACGAGAACUGAGGACUCUGUGAAGGAUGCUAUUCAUGGGCCCAAAGUAUAAAAAAGAAAAGGAAAUAGAGGACCUGACAACAUAGGAACCUGCCACACCUUGCUGAACCUCAGUAAGUGAAUAGAGAUUAUGGGACAAGAAAUUAGCAUGAGAUUUUUGUUGAAAAUUUAGUAAAAACUUUAAAAGCACAAGAGGUAAAGGUGAAUAUUGAGCAAUUGUGCCAAUACUUUGAUUUUAUUAAAGAGGUUUGCUCUU
rfam:Cavia porcellus supercont2_18 genomic scaffold, whole genome shotgun sequence.